AUCUAUGGUGGAUCGUGUGAGGCAGGCUAACGCCUGGCCGGGCCCUUGCUAGCCGGUACUGCGAACCUCGCACGAUCCGCCUCCCAA
rnacentral:antisense_RNA from 1 species